rnacentral:rRNA from 1 species
CCUACGGGUGGCAGCAGUGGGGAAUAUUGCGCAAUGGGCGAACGCCUGACGCAGCGACGCCGCGUGAGGGAUGAAGGUCUUCGGAUCGUAAACCUCUGUCAGCAGGGAAGAACGGUCACUGUGCUAAUCAGCAGUGAAUUGACGGUACCUGCAACGGAAGCACCGGCUAACUCCGUGCCAGCAGCCGCGGUAAUACGGAGGGUGCGAGCGUUAAUCGUAAUUCCUGUGCGUAAACCGCGCGUCUGCGUUAUGUCAAUUCAAGGGUGACAUCCCCACGCUCAACGUGGGAACUGCCUUUGAAUAUGGCAAACUGGAGUGUGGGAGAGGAUAGUGGAAUUCCAGGGGUAGGAGUGAAAUCCGUAGAUAUCUGGAGGAACAUCAGUGGCGAAGGCGACUAUCUGGCACAUAACUGACGCGGAGGCGCGAAAGCGUGGGGAGCAAACAGGAUGAGAUACCCGAGUAGUC